GAAAAGCCAGGGGGCAGGGGGUGGAGCAAAACAUGGGCAGUGAGUGUGUAGAGACGCGGGAGGUGAGUGCCCUGAGACGCGGGAGGUGAGUGCUGAGUAGCAGGAGAUGAGUGCUCUGAGAUGCGGGACGUGAGUGCCCUGAGACGCGGGAGGAACACUGAGCACAUGACUUUGUAAAGUUGACUCUCGCCUGUCCCUACCCCAAACCCACGUGUUCAUAUCAACCUGAAUUAAGUUGGUUCUGGAUGAUCCAAUGUGAUGGGGUGGAAGGAGGCCACACGUGGGGAGAGGGUGCUAGGUUAUUUGUUUUAUGCAGGAAAUAGUACAGAAAUUGAGAAACACAUAUGUGUGUAAAUCCUUUCUACAAUGAAGAGUGACCAUCUGAAGAAUAAAAACCAGCACAACAACGGGGCACAUAAAUGGUGGGAGAAAGAAGGAAACGAGACAAGGACGGCAGCAGAAGUCGGAGAGAAAGUGCCAUGGAUGGACGCGUGACAGGCCGCCAGAUGUGUCUUUUGAAGACUUCGUAACAACCGUUAACUAAACAGAUUCAGAUUAACAGAAAGACAGACUCUGGAGUGGAUGUCUUUAGCAACAUGCUGUCUAAAGAAGACCCACUUGAUACAACGGUUAGUGAAAAGUUGAAAAUAAAGGGACGAAAAAAGAUUUACUACGAAAACAGUGACCAAAAGACAGAGGA
rnacentral:lncRNA from 10 species